GUUUUGCCGUUCUCUUCUAUUGUGCUGCCACCAUAAGCUCUGAGUAAGGGAAGAGGGUGCGAAUCCCUCGCGGUCCCGCCGCUGUCAAUGGGGACGAAACCCGUAAAAGUCACUGUCUGAUCGUUAUUCGUUACUCGUGAAUCGGUCAUCGCAAGGUCCUGCGUUUCACGGUUAACGUUUUACGCAAAAGAUGGGAAGACCGGGGAGUAGAGUGAACCAUGAGCCAGAAGACCUGCUCGGAGAAGUGACCGUCG
rfam:Candidatus Nitrospira nitrificans, isolate COMA2 genome assembly, contig: COMA2_Contig_6